rnacentral:rRNA from 1 species
UACGUAGGGGGCAAGCGUUGUCCGGAUUUAUUGGGCGUAAAGAGCGUGUAGGCGGCCAGACAGGUCAGCUGUGAAAACUCGAGGCUCAACCUCGAGACGUCGGUUGAAACCGUCUGGCUAGAGUCCGGAAGAGGAGAGUGGAAUUCCCGGUGUAGCGGUGAAAUGCGCAGAUAUCGGGAAGAACACCCGUGGCGAAGGCGGCUCUCUGGGACGGUACUGGACGCUGAUGCGCGAAAGCCAGGGGAGCGAACGGG